CACUGCAGGAGGGGCGUGCGCUCCCUCCUCUCUCUUCUGUGUGGCGACGCACCGCUCCCGUAUCCCUCUCCGUGCUGAUGCCGAGGCUAUCUCAUCGAAGCAGUUGAAGGAGGUCGUGCCAUCCCGUCGGCGCCUACCGGCCCUCGCUCCAGUCCUGCGACGGUUGCCAAGAUAAGUACCUCCCCUCCCUCCAGUGCCUCAUCCAUCUCGCCUCAACCCCAAACCCUAGCAACAACUUUGAUUUGCUCUCUUCUUCCCUCUGGUUCCUCCGCCUUCCCAGACCAGAACGUGGAGAUUUGUGAGCUCCUUAUCUUUUUUGUGCUUUCGUUCCUCUCUCCUACCCUGUGAUGUUUUUGUUUCCAAUUUUGUCUUGGCCUAAACUGCAACUUUUUCAUUUUUGCCUUGGCCUAAUCUGCAACUUUUUGAUGUGCCUGACUGUACUGUAGGCAACCUACCCUGGCACUGGCGUCAGGUGACCUGAGAGGGUGAGGGUUAAAUCGCAGCAACAGGAUUUAAGCCUUUUAAGGUUCAGUUGAGCAGCGGCAGAAAAAGAUGAUCCCUUACUGAAUCAGAUCACUCCAACCAAGGAAACAGAGAUUGCUUUAGUACCAAUAAAGCAAAGUACAAGGUCCGUCAAUGCUCCAGAUAUCCUUACUCAAACUGCAGUUGCAACGUCAACAGAUACACCACAUAAGAAUGAUGAUACCAUUUUGGCUAAGUAUACUGCUAAUCCUAAAGAAUCUAAGGAUGGAGCUGCUGAUUCUGCAACUAAGAUAGGAAAGACAAUCACAAGGAAAAGGUCCCGCCCCUCACCUAACAAGAAAACCGCCAGAAAACUGCUGCUUGAUCAGGACAAUGAAAAUGAAGAUGAUGGCUGUGUGUGUGUCCAUGACACUCCCAAGCCUAGUUCCAGUGCCGAUGCUUAGAAGGAAGAAGCGGAUCAGCUCAUUUUGUGUUUACACAGUUGCAGCCAUGCCUAGACCUAUAUGUGAUGACUUGCUGCUUCAUGCCAUAUGUUCAGCUGUUUUAUAACCUGAUGCUCUCAGCAUCAAUUAACUAUCUUUUGGAUACUCUUAUGGCUGCAAACUGUGUUAUUUUCUACUUAAUAUAUUAGUACUCCCUUUUAUUUGGAUCAGUAUUCCGAGCUACCUGCUAAAAUGUUCGGUAGCUACUAAUGCUGAUCUUCGAAUGUAAUAUAUGGCUUGACAGAACCUAUGGGCUGCAGAUGCCAUUCAGUCAGUGGUAAUGCUAACGCUGCUGUUAAGAAAUUUGCAUGAGACAA